rnacentral:rRNA from 1 species
AAUAUUUUACCAUGUGGGCAACCCAGAUCCAGCCAUGCCGCGUGUGUGAAGAAUGUCUUCUGAUUGUAAAGCACUUUAUGUUGGGGGGAAGGGCUUUAGGUUAAGACACUGAAGUUUUUACGAUACCAACAGAUUAAGCACCGGCUAACUCUGUGUCAGCAGCCGCGGUAAUACAGAGGGUGCAAGCGUUAAUCGGAAUUACUGGGCGUAAAGCGCGCGUAGGUGGUUCAGUAAAGUGGGUGUGGAAUCCCCGGGCUUAAACUGGGAACUGCUUUCAUAACCGCUGAGCUAGAGUACGGUAGAGGGUAAUGGAAUUUCCUAUGUAGCGGUGAAAUGCGUAGAUAAAGGAAGGAACACCAGUGGCGAAGGCGACUACCUGGACUGAUACUGACACUGAGGUGCGAAAGCGUGGGGAGCAAAC